AGUGAACGCUGGCGGCGUGCUUAACACAUGCAAGUCGAACGAGAACGGAAUAUAGCUUGCUAUAUUUGUCAGCUAAGUGGCGCACGGGUGAGUAAUGUAUAGAUAACCUGCCCUUAAGAAAGGAAUAACAGUUGGAAACGACUGCUAAUGCCCUAUAUGCCUUUAAUACAUAAGUAUGCAAGGGAAACGCUUUAGUGCUUAAGGAUGGGUCUGUAUGGUAUCAGCUUGUUGGUGAGGUAAUGGCUCACCAAGGCUAUGACGCCUAACUGGUUUGAGAGGAUGAUCAGUCACACUGGAACUGAGACACGGUCCAGACUCAUACGGGAGGCAGCAGUGGGGAAUAUUGCACAAUGGACGAAAGUCUGAUGCAGCAACGCCGCGUGGAGGAUGACACGUUUCGGUGCGUAAACUCCUUUUAUAUAGGAAGAUAAUGACGGUACUAUAUGAAUAAGCACCGGCUAACUCCGUGCCAGCAGCCGCCGUAA
rnacentral:rRNA from 1 species